rnacentral:rRNA from 1 species
GAUGAACGCUGGCGGCGUGCUUAACACAUGCAAGUCGAACGAUGAACCGGGUGCUUGCACUCGGGGAUUAGUGGCGAACGGGUGAGUAACACGUGAGCAACCUGCCCCUGACUCUGGGAUAAGCGCUGGAAACGGCGUCUAAUACUGGAUAUGUCCCGUCACCGCAUGGUGUGCGGGUGGAAAGAUUUUUCGGUUGGGGAUGGGCUCGCGGCCUAUCAGCUUGUUGGUGAGGGAAUGGCUCACCAAGGCGUCGACGGGUAGCCGGCCUGAGAGGGUGACCGGCCACACUGGGACUGAGACACGGCCCAGACUCCUACGGGAAGCAGCAGUGGGGAAUAUUGCACAAUGGGCGCAAGCCUGAUGCAGCAACGCCGCGUGAGGGAUGACGGCCUUCGGGUUGUAAACCUCUUUUAGUAGGGAAGAAGCGAAAGUGACGGUACCUGCAGAAAAAGCACCGGCUAACUACGUGCCAGCCGCCGCAGUAA